UGUCCAGUAGCAUCUUAGAGACCAACUAAAUUUGUUCUGGGUUUAAGCUUUCAUGUGCACGCACAGCUUAUAUGAAGAACAAACUUAGUUGGUCUCUAAGGUGCUACUGGACA